rnacentral:sRNA from 1 species
UGAUGUGAAAAAAGAGAUUUUCCUGUGGUUUUAUAAGCUACAGGAAAAUCUCUUUUAUACUGUAUAAGAUGAUGCCAGAAUUGUGGGAGUACGAAGUACGGAACAAUUCGUAUGGCAUCU